GCAAAAUGAACGAACUCCAAGUUUGUUCAUUGCAUAUGAAUUGACCUAAGGACGGUUGGUUAAAAUUACCGCUGUAAAUUUCAGUGAAUGAUUUGCGGGGAUUAGACGAACGUGUCGAUCUUUAUAAAAACCCUAGAAACAGAAAUUAUCCCCAUUAGUACUAUUUUCUUCUCCCCCUAAUAAGUUCAUCUUCUAAUUUCUCUACUUCCUCCCUCCAAUUCAAAAGUUUGGUAAGCAUGACUGGUCGUUCAAGUCGAACUCUGUAUGUUGGUAAUCUCCCAGGAGAUAUCCGUGAGAGGGAAGUGGAGGAUUUGUUUUACAAGUAUGGUCCCAUCAUCGAUAUUGAUCUAAAGGUUCCACCAAGGCCCCCAGGUUAUGCCUUUGUCGAGUUUGAAGACGCUCGCGAUGCUGAGGAUGCUAUCCGUGGUCGGGAUGGGUAUAGCUUCGAUGGGCAUCGUCUGCGGGUGGAACUUGCACAUGGCGGGCGAGGGCAGUCGUCAUCAAUAGAUCGUCAUAGCAGUUACAGUAGCGGUGGUGGUCGUGGUGGAGUAUCCAGGCGCUCAGACUACCGUGUGUUGGUCACUGGAUUACCUUCUUCUGCUUCAUGGCAAGACCUAAAGGAUCACAUGCGCCGAGCUGGGGAUGUCUGUUUCUCGCAAGUGUAUCGUGAAGGCAGUGGUACUAUCGGUGUUGUUGAUUACACAAAUUAUGAUGACAUGAAAUAUGCGAUACGAAAGCUUGACGACUCCGAGUUUCGCAAUGCAUUUUCUCGGGCUUAUGUGCGGGUGAAGGAGUAUGACUCAAGGCGGAGUUUAUCCCGGAGCAGGAGUCGGAGUUCAUCUUUGAGAAGCAGAAGCCGCAGCCGCAGCUACAGUCGGAGCAAGAGCCGGAGCAAGUCUCUAAGGACCAAAUCUUCUCGCUAUUCUGUGUCUAGAUCUCGAUCCAGAUCUGUAUCUUCAGAUUCUCGUUCAGCCUCUGCGUCCAGAUAUGGCUUUUGCAGAGAUUUGGGGAUUGCAUGUUAGGAACUUUCUUGGAUAUAUGGUGCAACUGUCUGCAACUCUCUUGGUUGUGGAGUGUGCACCCAUUGGAGCAAAAGUGGGACACUGGGAUGGAGAAAAGCUUAAAGCUGGAUUAUAACUAAUCAUUGUUGGAACUUACCGGUUACACUAAGUGAUCCCCAUCAAGAUCAAGAUCUCCAUUACCAGCUAGACGCGUGAGAAGUUCGAAAAAACGAACUCCCAGCCGAAGCAGGAGCUUAUCCCAGUCUCUUUCACCUGCGGUGAGAUCUGAUCGCAGCCGUUCUGUUGACUCCAGAGGCCGGUAGAGAGGAUAAAAUUUCCUAUUGGUGAUCAAAUGUUCUGGUAGCAGUUAACCUUUAGAAUAAUAUGUGCCCUAACGACCAACCCGAUCAGCCCAUCACUUGAUUCUUCCCUGUUUCAUUCAUCAUUUUUUUCUUCUGGGUUUUGAUUUACGGGUGAAAUCUUUAUCGCAAAUCGAUCCGAGAGCCAGUAGUGACUCACUUAUGAGGAGACUGUCCAUGUUUUCCUGUGAUUUAUAAAAUGAUUGUUAGGUGCAGACAUUUGAGCAACUUAUAUAUAUCUGUAAUAGCAGUAGUACUUCGUAUUCGGUUAAAAUAAUGUACUUAAAAAGUACUUUGUUGAACAUAAUAAGUUGAGCACACUUUAUUC